GAGCGCCGUAGCAAUACGGAGCGGCAGACGGGAGAGUAACACGUGGGAACGUGCCCUUCAGUUCGGAACAACCCAGGGAAACUUGGGCUAAUACCGGAUACAUCCGUAAGGAGAAAGAUUUAUCGCUGAAGGAUCGGCCCGCGUCUGAUUAGCUUGUUGGUGAGGUAACGGCUCACCAAGGCGACGAUCAGUAGCUGGUCUGAGAGGAUGAUCAGCCUCACUGGGACUGAGACACGGCCCAGACUCCUACGGGGGGCAGCAGUGAGGAAUUUUCCGCAAUGGGCGAGGAGCCUGACGGAGCAACGCCGCGUGCAGGAGGACGCUUUUCGGAGUGUAAACUGCUUUUCUGUGGGACGAGCGAGGACGGUACCACAGGAAGAAGCCCCGGCUAACUACGUG
rnacentral:rRNA from 1 species